AACAACAGAAGACCUUCCUCAGACAUAUUUGCUAGUCACCCAUCAUGGCCAGCCUGAAGUUUGCUGUUCUGACCAUCCUGAUCUUGGCUUUCUAUUAUCAACCCAUAGCAGGAAGAUGCCCCCUCUGUCCAGAAGAAUGUUGCUUCUCUUUUAGGGAAGGAAAACCCCUUGCCGUAAAAGGAAUAUCAGCCUACAGGAGAACUGCUGCAAAGUGUAGCUUGAAUGCUACAGUGCUUAUUAUGAAGACCGGCAGAGAAUUGUGCAUCAGUGGUGAAGAACGUUGGAUGCAGAGGGUGUUGAAGAUCGUCCCAGAGAAAAAGAGAUGAUUGAAACGGAAGACCUCUCUCUGUCCCUUAUCUGCUUCACUGAGUUGUAUCUGUUGGACUGGUGUGCUUGGGCAUGUGAACAUAUAAUUUGCAAAUUUAAGCUAGGUUGAAAAUGGUCGGAAAUAGGCUUGCUCUUCAACCUCCUCCCCAAAGUUCUUUGGGAACUAUGGUUGUCCUUGCUUGUCCCAGCCCUGCAUACAGUUUGUUGUUGGGCCAAGCAGAGUGCAAUGGGCAAGGGAAUCCGGUAAAUAAGAAGAGUUGUGCAGGAUUUGCUAAUUGUAUCCAGGGUCUUGCUUCCCCAGUGCUGGGAUAUUGCAAUAGUAGGAUCUCCAAGAAUGUAUGAAUGAACGUAAUGAAUCCCUCCUUAUCACCCUAACUGGCUUUAUUGCAGAACCUGUUCCUUUACAGGUAGUCCUCGUUUAGCGAGUACCUCAUUUAGCAGCCGUUCACAGUUACAACAGUGAUGAAAAAGUAACUGUGUGACCAAUCCUCUCACUGACAACCUUCGUAGGUCUGUCAAGCAAAGGAAAGCUGAAGUAAGAUCAUAAGCACAGUUGUGGUUUCACUUAGUGACCACUUCACUUAACAGCCAAGUUGCUAGUCCCAAUUGUGGUCACUGAAUGAGGACUACCUGUAGUUCCAUCAACGGCUAUUCUGGUUCCCAAAGGCAGUGCUCAGCACUGGCCAUAGGGGGGCGGUCCCUUUCUUUGGGGUUACACAGGGAGACCCCCUCAGAGGGUCUUUUCAGCUUCUCUUGAGAGAAGUCCUCCAGCUGCAGUCCAGGAAUGCUGUUUCUCCAGUCAACAGUUUUGCUAUUGUGGCUUUAUUUUAAACUUCCUCAUAUUUAUCGCUUGUAGAAUCUUCAGACCAAUGUAAUUUACUUUCUUUAUUUGAAGGAAGAGCAAUGGGAUAUAAGCUAUCUGAGUGAAAAUAAAGUUUUGA